ACAUGCAGUCGAGCGAGGUUAUGUUGUGGACAUCCUUCGGGAGGGAAGCGAUAUGACCUAGCGGCGGACGGGUGAGUAACGCGUGGGCAAUCUGCCCUAAAGCUCGGGAUAACAGUGGGAAACUGCUGCUAAUACCGGAUGACUUUAUCGGGAGGCAUCUUCGGAUAAAGAAAGUGGUCAAUCAUUGAUUGACCAGCGCUUUAGGAUGAGCCCGCGUCCCAUUAGCUAGUUGGUGAGGUAACGGCUCACCAAGGCGACGAUGGGUAGCCGGCCCGAGAGGGUGAUCGGCCACAAUGGGACUGAGACACGGCCCAUACUCCUACGGGAGGCAGCAGUAGGGAGUUUUCGGCAAUGGGGGGAACCCUGACCGAGCAACGCCGCGUGAACGAGGAAGGUCUUCGGAUUGUAAAGUUCUGUUGUAGGGGAAUAAAGGUCGGAAGAAGAGAAUGUUUCCGAUUUGAAGGUACCCUGCCAGAAAGCCACGGCUAACUACGUGCCAGCAGCCGCGGUAAUACGUAGGGGGCAAGCGUUGUCCGGAAUUAUUGGGCGUAAAGGGUGCGUAGGCGGCCCUUUAAGUCAGAUGUGAAAGCCCACGGCUUAACCGUGGGACUGCAUUUGAAACUGGAGGGCUUGAGUGUCGGAGAGGGCAGUGGAAUUCCCAGUGUAGCGGUGGAAUGCGUAGAUAUUGGGAGGAACACCAGUGGCGAAGGCGACUGCCUGGACGAUAACUGACGCUGAGGCACGAAAGCUAGGGGAGCAAACAGGAUUAGAUACCCUGGUAGUCCUAGCCGUAAACGAUGGGUACUAGGUGUAGGAGGUUUCGAUACCUUCUGUGCCGCAGUUAACGCAAUAAGUACCCCGCCUGGGGAGUACGUGCGCAAGCAUGAAACUCAAAGGAAUUGACGGGGGCCCGCACAAGCGGUGGAGCAUGUGGUUUAAUUCGAAGCAACGCGAAGAACCUUACCAGGUCUUGACAUCCCUUGACAGCCUCAGAGAUGAGGUAUCUCUUCGGAGCAAGGAGACAGGUGGUGCAUGGUUGUCGUCAGCUCGUGUCGUGAGAUGUUGGGUUAAGUCCCGCAACGAGCGCAACCCUUGCCUUUAGUUGCCAUCAUUAAGUUGGGGACUCUAGAGGGACUGCCGGUGACAAAUCGGAGGAAGGUGGGGAUGACGUCAAAUCAUCAUGCCCCUUAUGACCUGGGCUACACACGUGCUACAAUGGUCUGUACAGAGGGAAGCGAAAGGGCGACCUGGAGCGAAUCCCAGAAAGCAGAUCUCAGUUCGGAUUGUAGGCUGCAACUCGCCUACAUGAAGUCGGAAUCGCUAGUAUCGCAGGUCAG
rnacentral:rRNA from 1 species